rnacentral:rRNA from 1 species
UUUAUGAGAGUUUGAUCCUGGCUCAGGACGAACGCUGGCGGCGUGCCUAAUACAUGCAAGUAGAACGCUGAAGUCUGGUGCUUGCACUAGACGGAUGAGUUGCGAACGGGUGAGUAACGCGUAGGUAACCUGCCUCAUAGCGGGGGAUAACUAUUGGAAACGAUAGCUAAUACCGCAUAACAGUAUUUACUGCAUGGUAGAUACUUGAAAGGAGCAAUUGCUUCACUAUGAGAUGGACCUGCGUUGUAUUAGCUAGUUGGUGAGGUAACGGCUCACCAAGGCAUCGAUACAUAGCCGACCUGAGAGGGUGAUCGGCCACACUGGGACUGAGACACGGCCCAGACUCCUACGGGAGGCAGCAGUAGGGAAUCUUCGGCAAUGGGGGCAACCCUGACCGAGCAACGCCGCGUGAGUGAAGAAGGUUUUCGGAUCGUAAAGCUCUGUUGUAAGAGAAGAACUGUGAGAAGAGUGGAAAGUUUCUCACUUGACGGUAUCUUACCAGAAAGGGACGGCUAACUACGUGCCAGCAGCCGCGGUAAUACGUAGGUCCCGAGCGUUGUCCGGAUUUAUUGGGCGUAAAGCGAGCGCAGGCGGUUUGAUAAGUCUGAAGUAAAAGGCUGUGGCUUAACCAUAGUACGCUUUGGAAACUGUCAAACUUGAGUGCAGAAGGGGAGAGUGGAAUUCCAUGUGUAGCGGUGAAAUGCGUAGAUAUAUGGAGGAACACCGGUGGCGAAAGCGGCUCUCUGGUCUGUAACUGACGCUGAGGCUCGAAAGCGUGGGGAGCGAACAGGAUUAGAUACCCUGGUAGUCCACGCCGUAAACGAUGAGUGCUAGGUGUUGGGUCCUUUCCGGGACUCAGUGCCGCAGCUAACGCAUUAAGCACUCCGCCUGGGGAGUACGACCGCAAGGUUGAAACUCAAAGGAAUUGACGGGGGCCCGCACAAGCGGUGGAGCAUGUGGUUUAAUUCGAAGCAACGCGAAGAACCUUACCAGGUCUUGACAUCCCGAUGACCACCCUAGAGAUAGGGUUUCUCUUCGGAGCAUCGGUGACAGGUGGUGCAUGGUUGUCGUCAGCUCGUGUCGUGAGAUGUUGGGUUAAGUCCCGCAACGAGCGCAACCCCUAUUGUUAGUUGCCAUCAUUCAGUUGGGCACUCUAGCGAGACUGCCGGUAAUAAACCGGAGGAAGGUGGGGAUGACGUCAAAUCAUCAUGCCCCUUAUGACCUGGGCUACACACGUGCUACAAUGGCUGGUACAACGAGUCGCAAGUCGGUGACGGCAAGCUAAUCUCUUAAAGCCAGUCUCAGUUCGGAUUGUAGGCUGCAACUCGCCUACAUGAAGUCGGAAUCGCUAGUAAUCGCGGAUCAGCACGCCGCGGUGAAUACGUUCCCGGGCCUUGUACACACCGCCCGUCACACCACGAGAGUUUGUAACACCCGAAGUCGGUGAGGUAACCUUUUAGGAGCCAGCCGCCUAAGGUGGGAUAGAUGAUUGGGGUGAAGUCGUAACAAGGUAGCCGUAUCGGAAGGUGCGGCUGGAUCACCUCCUUUCUAAGGAA